GAUGAACGCUAGCUACAGGCUUAACACAUGCAAGUCGAGGGGAAACGGCAUCGAAAGCUUGCUUUUGAUGGGCGUCGACCGGCACACGGGUGAGUAACGCGUAUCCAACCUGCCCAUCACUUGGGAAUAACCUUGCGAAAGUAAGACUAAUGCCCAAUGACAUCCCACGAAGGCAUCCGAAUGGGAUUAAAGAUUUAUCGGUGAUGGAUGGGGAUGCGUCUGAUUAGCUUGUUGGCGGGGUGACGGCCCACCAAGGCAACGAUCAGUAGGGGUUCUGAGAGGAAGGUCCCCCACAUUGGAACUGAGACACGGUCCAAACUCCUACGGGAGGCAGCAGUGAGGAAUAUUGGUCAAUGGGCGAGAGCCUGAACCAGCCAAGUAGCGUGCAGGAUGACGGCCCUAUGGGUUGUAAACUGCUUUUAUAAGGGAAUAAAGUGGGUCACGUGUGACUUUUUGCAUGUACCUUAUGAAUAAGGACCGGCUAAUUCCGUG
rnacentral:rRNA from 1 species